UACGGGGGGGGCAAGCGUUGUUCGGAAUUACUGGGCGUAAAGGGCUCGUAGGCGGCCAACUAAGUCAGACGUGAAAUCCCUCGGCUUAACCGGGGAACUGCGUCUGAUACUGGAUGGCUUGAGUUUGGGAGAGGGGUGCGGAAUUCCAGGUGUAGCGGUGAAAUGCGUAGAUAUCUGGAGGAACACCGGUGGCGAAGGCGGCAUCCUGGACCAACACUGACGCUGAGGAGCGAAAGCCAGGGGAGCAAACGGG
rnacentral:rRNA from 1 species